rnacentral:lncRNA from 1 species
GCCAUGACCCACGGGAAUCAGGGCAGUUGAGAAAACUGUUCUUGGUGGCCUGAGCUUUGAAACUACAGAGGCCCGUUUAAGAGACCAUUUUGAGGAAUGGGGCACACCCACAGACUGUGUGGUAAGGAGAAACUCCCAAACAAAACAUCUCGGGGGCCUUGGUUUUGUGACUUACGCUCAUGCAGCAAAGUGUGCUCAACCACAUAAGGUUGAUGGGCAUAUAGCGGAACCAAAGACAGCUGUCUCUAGAGAGGGUUCUGUAAAGCCUGGUGCCCAUCCAACAGUAAAGAAAAUGUUUGUCGGGAAGUAAUAAGGAAGAGACAGAAGAAUAUAAUUUGAGAGACUCCUUUGAAAAGAGUGACAAGAUUGAAACCACAGAAGUUAUGCAGAGUGGAAAACAGAGAGGAUUUGCUCUUGUAACUUUUGAUGAUCAUGAAACAAAUGAUGAAAUUGUUAUUCAGAUAUACCACGCCAUUAAUGGGCAUAAUUGUGAAGUAAAAAGUGUCCUUUCUAAAUGAGAUGGAGUCUACCAGGUCAUAAAGAGGUCAUGGAAGUGGAUCUGGCAACUUGGCUGGUCAUGGAGGAAACUUUGGAGGUGGUGGAGAUAAUUUUUGCCGUGGUGGGAACUUUGGUGGAAAGGAGGCUAUGGUGGUGAAGGUGAUGGUAGCAGAGACAGUUAUGCAGGAGAUGACAGUGGAUAGAAUGGAUUUGGAGGUGAUGGUAGCCACUAUGGGUGGUGAUCCUGGUCGUAAUAGUAGAGGGGGCCGUGGUGGUGGUGGACCAGGAUAUGGAAACCAAGGUAGUGGAUAUGGUGGCAGUGGUGGAUGAUAUGAUGGUUACAUUGAAAUUUUGGUGGUGGUAACUAUGGUGGUGGUGGAAACUAUAAUGAUCUUGGAAACAGCGAUCAAAUUAUGAAUGCAUGAAAGGGGGCAGUUUUGGUGGAAGAAGUUCAGGCAGUCCCUGUGGUGACCGUUAUGGAUCUGGUAGUGGAAAUGGUGGAUAUGGUAACAGAAGGU